AUUUGAUCCAGUGAUGGUGGGAUCACUUUGCUGUGUCUAUCACUUGCUGGCUAUGCUGUUUGGCGGCUUCACCAGGGAAAAAAGCCUUGAAAGUGCCGUUAAUUUUUUGCAUGGCAAGCUGCUGAAUACGAACCAGUCUCACACCAUUGCCAUCACCUUGCCCUUGUGAAGGCACAUAUGGAUAAAGUUUUCAAAGCUGAUAGAAAAUUGAAAGCAGUCGCAUCCUGUGACGAUGGGUGGAGUUAGUGGAACCGAAAAAGAUGUCUCCCUCACAGCAUUUGUGACAAAAGAAUUGCAUCGUUCCUUGGCGGCCUUUCAACAGAAGAAUAUUCAGACAUUUCCCGAGUGUUUCCACUUGGAAGAAAGAUUCACAUCAAAUUGACUGGUCAAGGAAAUGGGACACUGACUGUGAGUACUUUGAAUGUUCGAGUUAUUCCUAAAAUGAAAGUUAUGACCUU